rnacentral:rRNA from 1 species
UACGAAGGGGGGCUAGCGUUGUUCGGAAUUACUGGGCGUAAAGCGCACGUAGGCGGAUUGUUAAGUUAGGGGUGAAAUCCCAGGGCUCAACCCUGGAACUGCCUUUAAUACUGGCAAUCUCGAGUCCGAGAGAGGUGAGUGGAAUUCCGAGUGUAGAGGUGAAAAUUCGUAGAUAUUCGGAGGAACACCAGUGGCGAAGGCGGCUCACUGGCUCGGUACUGACGCUGAGGUGCGAAAGCGUGGGGAGCAAACAGG